ACUGGCUUACAAACAUCUUACAAAGCAACAUGUUUUUUUUGCUAGAAUACCAUUAUUGGACUUUCGCAAGAGUUUUCUGGGAAGAUCGCAUGUGAUUUUCAUGUAACACAACAGAAGACAAAUAUUAGUGAAGAACUUCGACCAUAUGUCAAUGAGGGAAGAAUUUCUGAAAAGAUUCUGGAAGAACAUAUAUUUCAAAAUAACCUGUGCUAUAUAUGUGGACCACCACCUAUGAUACAGUCUGUUUCUAGUCAGCUUAUCAAUUUAGGAUUUCCCAAAGAAAAAAUUCUUUUUGAAAAAUGGUGGUAGUUUUUCUUAUGCAAGUUCUUAUACUCAGAGUAUGCAGAAAGUGUUAUUCUGUUUUACUGUAAAAUACUGUAUUUUACAAUAUUACAAUAAUUUAAAGUUGUUCUCUUAAAAUCUUAUUAUAGACCACAUGUAAAAAAUUUUGCUCACCAUUGUUGAGAAAUAGUUGGUCUGUCAUCUCAUUUCUGUUCCAUACUGCAAGUAAAACUGGCUUUUUCCUGUUUUGAAAACAUUUUAGAUUACAGUGCUGAUGCUAGUUUUUGUGUGUGUUUUUAUUAAUAUUAUACUGAUAUGGACAACUGGCUGGUAUAAUGGUCCUUGUGUCACAUCAACAAAUGUUUAUUAUUUUUCAGAGUUUAGAAAAUAACUGUUAAUCAGUAAGCGUUCCAACUGUCCUAUAAUGUUAGUCUAUAGUAUUAUGAUUUAAAUACCAAUAAAGUAAUCCUUUUCAUUUU